GACGUAGGGCGCGAGCGUUGUCCGGAUUUAUUGGGCGUAAAGAGCUCGUAGGCGGCUUGUCGCGUCGAUCGUGAAAGCCCACAGCUCAACUGUGGGCUUGCGGUCGAUACGGGCAGGCUAGAGUUCGGUAGGGGAGACUGGAAUUCCUGGUGUAGCGGUGAAAUGCGCAGAUAUCAGGAGGAACACCGGUGGCGAAGGCGGUUCUCUGGGCUGAUACUGACGCUGAGGAGCGAAAGCGUGGGGAGCGAACAGG
rnacentral:rRNA from 1 species